rnacentral:misc_RNA from 1 species
GCAAACUUGGUCAUUUAGAGGAAGUAAAAGUCGUAACAAGGUUUCCGUAGGUGAGUAAACAGAUCCGUACCCCUAGUAACAAAAUUUUAGCUAACAUUUUCCAAGGUGAACCUGCGGAAGGAUCAUUAAAGGUGUCAAGUAACCCGGUUCGCCGGGGACACUUCCACCCUCUGUUAACGAACUUGGUUGCUUUGGCGGACCGUCCGGUCUUCAUUGACCGGCGUGGUCGUUCGCCGACAGACCCGUGAACAUCGAUUUUUUGUACUGUCCGAGCUUGACAUUUACAAUUGAACAAAAACUUUCAACAACGGAUCUCUUGGUUCCGGCAUCGAUGAAGAACGCAGC